rnacentral:rRNA from 1 species
UUCCUUUUUGUAUUACGGACUGUAGAAAAUUUAAAUUAUUUUAUAUUUCAAAAAGAGUGGAUUUAAAUUUGUUAAAAUAUUAUUUUGGAUAAUAAAUGAUUAAAAAUUUUUUAGAAAAUAAAAAAUAAAAAUAAACAAGUUUAGGUGUGAUAUUUUUUCGUUUCUUUUUAUUUAAUUAAGAUUAAUUUAUGUAUAAGCAUAAAAUUUUAAAAAAGAUAUUCUAUUUAUUAAAUAAAAAAAAAAAUAUUUUAUAUUGAUAAUUUAUUUUUUAUAAAUUUCAAGUUUAAUAAGUAUUUAUUAAUUAAAUUUUUUUUCUAGUUAAGAAUAUUAUGGUAUGAUUCUAAAUUUAAUUUUAUAUAACUCAAUUUUUAUACAACUGUUUCUUAAAAACAUUUUUUUUUAUUAUAAAAAAUAAAACCUGCUCAAUGAUUAUAAAAUUUUAAAUAGCUGCAGUAUCUUAACUGUACAAAGGUAGCGAAAUCACAUGCCUGAUAAUUGCGGGAUUGUGUGAAAGGUUCAUUGAUAUAAAUAAUGUUUUAUAAAAUUAUGAAUUUUAAAAAAUUUAAAGAACAGUAAAGAUUCUGUUUUUAUAAUUAAGACGAAAAGACCCUAUAGAGUUUUUAUUUAUUUUUUAUUUAAUUAAAAAAAUUAAAUUUUAGAUGGGGUAUUUAAUUUUAAUUUAAAAUUUUAUGUUAAAAAUAAAACUUCCUUAGGGAUAACAGGGUAAUAAAAUUUAAAAGUUCUAAUUAAAAAUUUUGAUUACUACCUCGAUGUUGAAUUAUAAUAAAAUUUAGGUGUAGAUGCUUAAAAUUUUAGUCUGUUCGACUAUUAAAAUUAUUCAUGAUUUGAGUUUAGACCGAUGUAAAUCAGGUUAGUUUUUAUCUAAUAUUGAAAAAGUUGUACGAAAGGAAUCUUUUUUCUUAA